CGUGACGCUCCCUGCCAACAGGUCGCCUGAGGCAGGGCCCGCGUGUCGUAGGGGGGCGGGGGGAGGGGCGGCCCGCUGCACCCCUCUUUCACCCGGAGGCGAGGACGUCCUCGUGUCUGAGGCUGACGCCGUGGGCUUGACAAAGAGCUGAAUAACGACUAAAGAGAAUUAAGAAGUUGAAACCACAACAUGGAAGACACCUGGGGUUGACAAGCGAGUCAUCGGAGAAGCGCUUCCUAGGAGAGCUGUGUGACCAGGAACACCUCGAGUAAUGUAUUUGCUUUACUAAAGAAUGACUUGUAUGAGAAGAAAAUCUAUUUUCCAUAAAAAUAAAAAAAGAAUGACUGAAAUCUCUCCAACUGCUAUCUAAAAUGUGUCUGGUGCUGUGGCUCUGUAAUUUGGGAUCAGAAGCUUCGUCCACUCUUUCUGCAUUGUAGUUUGGCUGUUUGGGUCCUUUGUGCUUUAUAUGAAUUUUAGGAUUUUUCUUUUUCCUUCUUCCUGUGAAUAAUGCCAUUGAAUUUUGGUGGGAUUUCAUCGACUCAGUUUUACAGUAUUAAUUCUGCCAAUUCAGAACAUAGGAGGGUUCUUCAUUGCUCUAAGGGUUUUAUUAUAGAGGUCUUACUUGGUUAGACUUUUUCCUAGUUGUGAUAUUUAAUCUUGAUUGUCAACUUGACAGGAUUUAGAGUCACUAUGGAAAUAAGUCUCUGAUUGUCUGUGAGAAUUGUCUAGGACUGAAGUGGGGAAGACUAUCCUAAAUGUGAGCCAGGUUCCACGGGCUCUGCUGCUGACUGCAGCUACAGUGUGACCAGCCACCUCAAGUUCCUGUUGCCCUCACACUCC
rnacentral:lncRNA from 1 species